GGAGACAUAACAUGAAAAACCCACUUUUUUAUCCAUUAACACGGUGUGUUUCACAUUUUAAGUGUCUAAGUGAGCAAAAAGGCUUAUAUUAUUCACUGGAGUUGCUAUUUAGAUAUUUAAUAAUUAAGUUUUGGGCAUAUUUGUCCACCCGUUCAGUUUUUACAUUAUCUAUUACAUCAGUAAUUAAUUUAGUGAGGAUAACUACCAAAUAUGGUAAUGGCCCUCGGCUAAACACAGAGCCAAUCCGCCAUUUUUUCUUCUCGCUAAGAUUUUUUGUAGUCCUAUUGGAAAAAUGUGGAAUGUCUGGUUAUUUUAGCCACACACAGCUCAAAACUGUUCCUCGUUUUAAGGAAGGGUGGUGUGGCAGUAUUUAAACCCAGGAGCUGAUGACACUACUGCUAAAAAAACACAGAAGAAAAAGUAGUGUGUUUGCGUUUGUUUGUGUGUGUGUGUGUGUGUGUGUGUGUGCGCGCGCGCGUGGUUCGUUCGUUCUGUCUCCAGGCUAGUGGCUAAGUACUGAGGGCUUCAUCUAUCUAAAAGGAGUUAUUUCCAUCUGAAUUUGGCAGCACCGGGACACAGCAGCAGAGCGAGUCCACAUCCAGAAGACUGGAGCCGUGUUUCACUGACAGGCUGUCAGACUAACGCCCUGAUGAGCUCAGCUGGGACAAACUGGUCUGAUGUUUAGGAACACAGAACGUUCAGAUGUUGGCGUUUCACGUCACCUACUGAGGAAGGAGACCCACCAGUAAAGAGAUGGUAGCUGGACGAGACCAAAGUGAGUGAUGACACACCUCAGCCACCCUCAUCAUUAAGAACACCUCACCCCCUGAAUCACUCCGUCUGAUGACAGCAGAGUGAUUUAUUUGAUGUUUUACUUGUUUAGUCUGUUUAGAAAUUAUUGAAUUACAUUAUUUUCUGUAAUCGACCAUCUGAUCUGGAUGUGUGCAGAAUAACUUUCCCCAAAUUCAGCAGCAGCUGGCCUACAAAAACAGCUGCAGCAUGUAGUAAGUCUGUCUGCACUGCUCUCUAAUGAGCUUCCUUUCAUAAGGAAUCAUUUGUAUAAUUUUAGUGUCACUAUUUUAUUACAUUUGUAGGAAAAUAUGAAGUCACUGCAGCAAAGUGAACUUGUGAACAAACACAAACGUGACUAUAAACAUGAAAGCUAAAGAAACAACUUUCCUAAAGCUGCUUGUAAACAAAAUAUGUCAUUAAAGUUAUCGUCUAUCAUUGCAGAAUAUGGCGAUGACAUCAUGGAACUGGUCUUUGGAAAAGUUUUCCCUGAACCAACUCCGUUUCUAGAUGAGGUAGAGAAGAUCUGCAUCUCACCAACUCUCUGGUCUCAGUAUUCAGACAACGGCGUUCUCCCACUGUUGUCCAGGACCAGUUUGAAGCCCACAUACUGCCCCUCCCUCAUCAUCAGGAAACAUCAAUCCGUAUCCUGAGGACAACAGAAGACGGCAGGAGGACAGGAACUCUGAGACCUAGACACCACCAGCACCGAGACACAAAGCACCUGUGUGCACAACGCCUGUUUUAACUACUAAAGCCUGUUUAUUAUAUUGUUCUACUUAUUUGCUGUGAGGUUAAUACUUAGAAAAUUUGUAUAUUAAUGUAAACAAUAAAAAAAAUCACUGAUUGUAUGCUUUCUUUUAGAUGUAAUGGUCCAAACUCAGCCUCGUAGACAUUUAUUGCAUCCUGUAGGUAAAUACACAGAACAGGCUCAGGUCCAGGAUGACCCAGCAUGCUCUUCUUCCAUUCUGGCUGUUAGGGAUUGUAUCAAUAACUCAAUGCCUACUGAUGUUUUCACCUAACGGUAUUUAUUUAGAAUGCAGGUAAGAUUUAACUAUAUUUGUUAGCAAAGCAGACUGAUCUUGGGAAUUUCACUGCAGCACUGAUGUCCACCUCUCUGUACACAUUAGAGAGAAUUACCACUUUACAGCUAAACACAUUUAAUAAAGAUAUAGGCUACGCAUUGCAGACAAUAAAAACAAAGUUGUAAGCAUUAGAAUUAUAAUGAUGACAUUAAAGAACACUUGGAGGAAUGUUCUUUAUUUUUGACUAGAAUCUCAAAUCUUUAAAUUAAAAUGUAACUGCUUUUUAUCCAUUUUCAGCCAUUAAGACACCCAAUAUAAAAUAAGACUACUUAUAAAAUUAUUUAUAAUUAUAUGUAUGUAUAUAGAUAGAGAUCUUAAUAAAAUAUAUUCUUUGAA